GGGAAGAUGGCCGAGCGGUUAAGGCGCCACGUUAAGGCUUUGAGUCUUUAACAACGGUCUGUUCUCAGAUUUUCCGUGGUUCGAAAGAGCGUGGGUUCGAUUCCCACUCUUCUCA